GAUGAACGCUGGCGGCGUGCCUAAUACAUGCAAGUCGAGCGAACAGACGAGGAGCUUGCUCCUCUGACGUUAGCGGCGGACGGGUGAGUAACACGUGGAUAACCUACCUAUAAGACUAGGAUAACUUCGGGAAACCGGAGCUAAUACCGGAUAAUAUAUUGAACCGCAUGGUUCAAUAGUGAAAGACGGUUUUGCUGUCACUUAUAGAUGGAUCCGCGCCGCAUUAGCUAGUUGGUAAGGUAACGGCUUACCAAGGCAACGAUGCGUAGCCGACCUGAGAGGGUGAUCGGCCACACUGGAACUGAGACACGGUCCAGACUCCUACGGGAGGCAGCAGUAGGGAAUCUUCCGCAAUGGGCGAAAGCCUGACGGAGCAACGCCGCGUGAGUGAUGAAGGUCUUCGGAUCGUAAAACUCUGUUAUUAGGGAAGAACAAAUGUGUAAGUAACAAUGCACGUCUUGACGGUACCUAAUCAGAAAGCCACGGCUAACUACGUG
rnacentral:rRNA from 1 species